CCCUUAGAUGUUCUGGGCCGCACGCGCGCUACACUGAUGCAUUCAACGAGUCUAAAACCUGGUCUGAUAGGGCUGGGUAAUCUUUUGAAUGUGCAUCGUGAUUGGGAUAGAUGAUUGCAAUUAUUGGUCUUCAACGAGGAAUUCCUAGUAGACGUAGUUCAUCAGACUGCAUCGAUUACGUCCCUGCCCUUUGUACACACCGCCCGUCGCUCCUACCGAUUGAAUGCUCAGGUGAGCCAUUCGGACUUUCAUCAUGCUGGUUUCCAGUUUUGAUGAAGGAAAGUCUUGCGAACCUUAUCAUUUAGAGGAAGGAGAAGUCGUAACA
rnacentral:rRNA from 1 species